CCUACGGGGGGCUGCAGUGGGGAAUUUUGGGCAAUGGGCGCAAGCCUGACCCAGCGACGCCGCGUGGAGGAUGAAGGCCUUCGGGUUGUAAACUCCUGUCAGGUGGGAAGAAAUCUCUGCCGGCCAAUACCCGGCAGCGUUGACGGUACCACCAAAGGAAGCCCCGGCUAACUCCGUGCCAGCAGCCGCGGUAAUACGGAGGGGGCAAGCGUUAUUCGGAUUUACUGGGCGUAAAGCGCACGUAGGCGGCAUUGCAAGUCGUAGGGGAAAGCCCGCGGCUCAACCGAGGAAUUGCCUGCGAAACUGCUCUGCUUGAGUCCGGGAGGGGGGAGCGGAAUUCCCAGUGUAGCGGUGAAAUGCGUAGAUACUGGGAGGAACACCGGUGGCGAAGGCGGCUCCCUGGACCGGUACUGACGCUGAGGUGCGAAAGCGUGGGUAGCAAACAGGAUUAGAUACCCUUGUAGUC
rnacentral:rRNA from 1 species